rnacentral:lncRNA from 1 species
UCAUAAUAUUAGAAAUUCUCCGAAAUCACCCAAAAUCAUUCAUUCAGACAAGUUUGCCCUUGGUUUAUACGCAGACACGUAAGCCUGUGGGGUAAUCAGAAUGACACCCACCAACUGAAACACUUCCUCUCUCUUCCCAUUUCCGCUUUAACGCAAAUACACGGGGAGACGGUUUUAUCGUCGAGCUCCACAAAAUUCGAAGACUAGGGCAGAUUGGCGGAAUCUUCCUUUCUUCCUAGAUCAAUCGACAACGACGGUAUGUUCUUCAAUCGUCGAAAUCCACUACUGUUUUUCUUCUGUCGCAAAGAUUCUAUCCGAUUUGUUUUGAACCUAAUCUCUAUCGCUGUUUUCAUUCCGAUUUCAUAGAUUCGAAUCUGUUCCGACCGACGAGUGAUUGACUGUUGGGGUUAAAAUAACUCGGUUGUACAUAUUCCUUCUUCUUUGGUUCCAUUCUCGGGGCUGACGAAGAAGCAGGUUUGCUUCCGUCAACCGGAGCUGAGCUCUUCUGAGGCGACAAUUUGGAGUUGGAAUGGGAAGAUCAAAGAUGGAUUGAGAGUGGGUUUCAGAUUAACAGGUUGAGAAAAACGAGCAUAAUUGUAGAAUUAGGCUCUAUAAUUUUGCUCUUUAGAUUCUGGUUUUUAGAUUCAUUGAAUCAGAGAGGAAAGGAAGAGAAAGAGGAAAAUGAUAGAGCGGAGAGAGUCAUGAAAAUGAUAUUUUUAUAAUUGGAUAAAUUUCACUUAAUAUUUAUAAUUUUUUAUUCAAUAUUAAUUUCAUCCAAUAUCGUAAUAUUUCAAAUAUCAUAAUAUUCGAGAUAUCACAUACCAAACAACAAAACUUUAACAAAA